AAGCUCCCGGAUUUGUUUUGGCUCAGUACCAGCAGUCUUUUCCAGCAAUCGCAGUGGAUCACACACAGGGUGGGCAGGAGGCCCCUCCAUAUCUGAAGGAAGCAGGAAGAAUGACUGCAGAUGAGACACUAAAUUCUUCAAAGAAGAAGGAUAAUAAAGUCAACAGAAGCCACCCAUGUAUUAUUCCUGAUUUGGAUGGAAUGUAAUGUUUACUGUGUAUAUUUUUGGUCUAUCAGCUCUGAAAAUGGC